UCUCGGCUCGCAGCAUCGGUCCGCGCUGGAAGCUGCCUUUUGCGGGACGCCCUCCAGCGGAAUGGAGUCCGGGGCAGCCUCUUGCCAGCUCAGACCGAGGAUCUCCCAACAGCGUCUGAAUUUGUCUGAAAGCCUUUUCUUCAUGGCACAAUAUGGACAGCUCUACAGUGGUUCAGAUGCCAGGACAUCAAUGACAAAGGCCAUUCCGAAAGCACACGCAGAUUAAAAGUGACUCCGAAGGAUCUGCACUCUCUGUGUUACGGGUCUGGAUGCCAGACGGUGACAUCACUGACAGGCAGCCACCCCGAUGGGCGGUCGCGUAUGUCGUCUGUUGGCCGUGCCAGCCCCACCGUGACGGCAGAGCGUGACAGUGUGAGUAAGUAAUGCACGCCUGUUUCUUACCGGGAGAUGCCAAAGCAGAAAGUGAAAGCAGGCCUGCUCUUACGUACCCCCCCCUGCCAGGCCGGGCCCCCACACCCUGCCUGCUUUUUGCCUCUGACAUCCCAUACAUUUGAACUUUAUGUUAUGUUUAUGGCCUUGUUUAACUUGGCGGCGCGACAGGUUAUUUAUGUUAAUUGCCCAGCGACCCCCCAGUUAGUGCCCGGCUGCUUGUGAGCGGUGGACUGCCCCCCCCUGGAAGUGUAAUUUACAGCCGGAUCGCUGCAGCUACCUUCUGUCCAAUUAGACCAAAGUGCUCCAUUUCAGCUGACUU